rnacentral:rRNA from 1 species
AACGAACGCUGGCGGCAGGCUUAACACAUGCAAGUCGAGCGCCCCGCAAGGGGAGCGGCAGACGGGUGAGUAACGCGUGGGAACGUACCCUUUACUACGGAAUAGCUCCGGGAAACUGGAAUUAAUACCGUAUGUGCCCUUCGGGGGAAAGAUUUAUCGGUAAAGGAUCGGCCCGCGUUGGAUUAGCUAGUUGGUGGGGUAAAGGCCUACCAAGGCGACGAUCCGUAGCUGGUCUGAGAGGAUGAUCAGCCACAUUGGGACUGAGACACGGCCCAAACUCCUACGGGGGGCAGCAGUGGGGAAUAUUGGACAAUGGGCGCAAGCCUGAUCCAGCCAUGCCGCGUGAGUGAUGAAGGCCUUAGGGUUGUAAAGCUCUUUCACCGAUGAAGAUAAUGACGGUAGUCGGAGAAGAAGCCCCGGCUAACUUCGUGCCAGCCGCCGCAGUAAUAC